rnacentral:lncRNA from 10 species
GCAGUGUAGCACUCGCGCCCUUGGGGGCUAGCGUUUGGCCGGAGCUACACACUCUUUACUCACGCACGCACACCGCCGUACACAGCACAAUCGUUCACCGUCCCGCCAAAGGCUCGUCUCUCGGGUUCUGCCUAGUGGAAGGAGUCGGACAACGCCGCACGUCACGGGCGUUUCGGAUUUCUUGCUUCCCAAAGGUUUGACGGCGGCCACCGGCGCCCCGGCCCAGCUCUGCUUUCCUUUGCUGACUCCUUCCUUUAGCUGUCUACCACCACUGCUGCGCUUGUGGAUGACUGCAGGAACACCGGGUACUUGCCACAAGUAUCUCUCCAGAUUCAUCAGCCUUUCACCUGUGACAAGCUCAGUCAAGAAGUGGCUCCUAAGUAAAAGCUGGGGAAGAACAAGGAAGAUAGAGCUCAGAGUAGAAAGCUGUGAAGUUCUGCACAACAGGUCCCCUUGGCCUGCUCUAACAGUUGGAAGACAGGCAUGGUAGCUCAUGUGGAAGCUUCCCGAGGCCCUCACCCAGAAGCAGAUGCUGGAGCCAUGCUUGUACAGCUUGCAGAACUGUA